GACGAACGCUGGCGGCGUGCUUAACACAUGCAAGUCGAACGAAGUGGCGAACGGGUGAGUAACGCGUAAUCAACCUGCCCUUCAGAGGGGGACAACAGUUGGAAACGACUGCUAAUACCGCAUACUGAAGGAGGGGAUUGCGUCUGAUUAGCUAGUUGGAGGGGUAACGGCCCACCAAGGCGAUGAUCAGUAUCCGGUCUGAGAUGAGGAACGGCCACAUUGGGACUGGUACACGUGCCAGAUUCGUACGGGAGUCAGCAGGUGGGAAUCUGCCGCAAUGGACGAAAGUCGGAAGGAGCAGUGCCGCGUGAGUGAUUACGGCCUUCGGGUUGUAAAGCUCUGUUAAUCGGGACGCGGUACCUGAAUAGAAAGCCACGGCUAACUACGUGCCAGCAGCCGCGGUAAUAC
rnacentral:rRNA from 1 species